AGAGAGAGACAUGCGCGCAUAUCAAUAAGCGGAGGAAAAGAAACUAACAAGGAUUCCCUUAGUAACGGCGAGUGAAGCGGGAAGAGCUCAAAUUUGAAAUCUUCAAGGUUUUACCUUGACGAAUUGUAGUUUAAAGAAGUGUUUUCUGCUGAAGUUUUGGUAAAAGUUCUUUGGAAUAGGACAUCAUAGAGGGUGAGAAUCCCGUAUUUGACCAUUAUUUUCAGCUUUGUGAUACACUUUCAAAGAGUCGGAUUGUUUGGGAAUGCAGUCCAAAAUGGGUGGUAAAUUUCAUCUAAAGCUAAAUAUUGGCGAGAGACCGAUAGCGAACAAGUACCGUGAGGGAAAGAUGAAAAGAACUUUGAAAAGAGAGUUAAACAGUACGUGAAAUUGUCAAAAGGGAAGCGUUUGACACCAGUGUUGUUUUCUCGAAAAUCAAUUAAAAAUGGCUCGAUUUUGUAUUGCUUGAGACCUUAAAAGCUCACUGUACAUUUUUCGUGUCUUUUUUAAUGCACUUUUCGUUUAACAAGUCAACAUCAGUUUCUUUUGUUGUAAAAGGGUCAUUGGAAGGUGGCUUUCUUUUCGGAGAAAGUGUUUAUAGCCUUUGGCCUCUGCAAUCGGAGAGACUGAGGUCUGCAGCGUAGACUCUUCGGGGUUAGAUACAUUUGUGCUAAGUUAUAGCUUUUAUAGACAACUUGUUGACUAUAAUUAGUCUUGUAGCUUACUCGCUUAUGCUAUUUUACCUACGCUUAGGAUGUUGAAGAUGUAGCACAUCA
rnacentral:rRNA from 1 species